GAAGUGAGCUGGGCGGCCGCUGUACUUUAUCUGCAGAGGAAGGUCCGGACUCCAUGGGCAAGGGUGACGGCUAACGGCCGUACGCAGCAAGUCUUUAUAAGACCCAAGGCGAGGAAUAGGGCCACAGAGACGAGUAAAAUACCAUUUAGUAGUGGUNAUGACGUGAAACGAGGCAACCUCCACCCGGAGCAACACCAAAUAGGCAUACGCGCAGUUUUGCUGCUGGUUGCCCAACCAAGUAUGUGGGUAGGUGGCUAGAGUUUAAUAGUAAUGUUAAACCAAGAUAGAUGGNCGCACAAAACCUCUAUUUUUUUUCNGAGGUUUGGACAGAAUCCGGCCUAUAGGCUCACUUCGCUU
rnacentral:RNase_P_RNA from 1 species